GACGAACGCUGGCGGCGUGCUUAACACAUGCAAGUCGAACGGAAAGGCCCUGCUUGCAGGGUGCUCGAGUGGCGAACGGGUGAGUAACACGUGGGUGAUCUGCCCCUUACUUUGGGAUAAGCCUGGGAAACUGGGUCUAAUACUGGAUAGGACCAUGCUGUAGGUGGUGUGGUGGAAAGAUUAGUUUCGGUAAGGGAUGAGCUCGGGGCCUAUCAGCUUGUUGGUGGGGUAAUGGCCUACCAAGGCGUCGACGGGUAGCCGGCCUGAGAGGGUGGACGGCCACAUCGGGACUGAGAGACGGGCCAGAAUCCUGCGGGAGGCAGCAGUGGGGAAUAUCGUACAAUAGGCGCAAGCCUGAUGCAGCGACGCUGCGUGGGGGAUGACGGCCUUCGGGUUGUAAACUCCUUUCGGCCAUGACGAAGCGCUUGUGGUGACGGUAGUGGUAGAAGAAGCACCGGCUAACUACGUG
rnacentral:rRNA from 1 species